AAUAGAUGAUACCGUUGACUUUUUCUCACAUGUUUGACCAUUCGUCGUAUUCAAAAAAUUUACGUAAUUAUAAUUUAUUUUGUUAUGAGUUGUUUUAUCACUUAUAAUACUUUAAGUGUGAUUUAUAUCUUAUAUAUUUGCAUAAAAUUUUUUAAUAAGACGAAUGGUCAAACAUGUUAGAAAAAAUCAACAGCGUCAUCUAUU
rnacentral:pre_miRNA from 1 species